GAUGAACGCUGGCGGCGUGCCUAAUACAUGCAAGUCGAACGGAGGUCCGCAAGGAUCUUAGUGGCGAACGGGUGAGUAACACGUUGGUAACCUGCCCUGGAGUGAGGGAUAACAGGCCGAAAGGCUUGCUAAUACCCCAUACGCAGUAGAGGAAUAGCAGCUUUACUGUAAAGGAAGUUCACUUUCGCUCCAGGAGGGGCCUGCGACCCAUCAGCUAGUUGGUAAGGUAACGGCCUACCAAGGCGAUGACGGGUAGGGGACCUGAGAGGGUGAUCCCCCACAAUGGAACUGAAACACGGUCCAUACACCUACGGGUGGCAG
rnacentral:rRNA from 1 species